rnacentral:lncRNA from 1 species
UCAGAAUUUAUUUGUUGAGGAAUUAGGUUCACUCAUUCGUGAGUCUGAGUUCCAUUGUCACUGAGUCUGGUCGCCAGCUCAUGUGACUCAUGGUGUAACUGAACAUUUCAUAAGCUCAUGUUGCCUUUGAUCACUGUUUCUUAAGGAGAGCCAGCUAAUUGCUGUCAGGAUAAGAGUAGACUUCUCUCCUCAGACUGGGAGGGAGAACUGUUCAUUCGUGAGUCAGAGUUUGCAUGAAAUUGAACAGUAUUCUGUUUGGAACCUUCCACUCUUGUUCAGGUGGCCCCAGCUGUUGGUGGCUCUGUUUCUAGGGGACUUUUAAUCAGGAGAUGCCCUCAAUUACUGAUGUUUUUAAGUCUUAGGAAGGAAAUUGAGGAAAGUUAGAUUUCGGGAAGUUCAAUUUAGGGAGCUCUCCUUUGUAGAAGGGUUCAAAUAUGACAGAUCGCAAACAGACUUACUCUUCAAAUGUCUCUCACUUGUGCAGGAAUGAGCUGUCCAAAAAAAGUAAGACUAAGUAAUAAACUGUCUUCCCACCGUGGGAGUUGUCAAUGAGAAAGUGUACUCUGGAAAAGCG